GCCGGGAGCUAGCUCUUUACAACUCUCACAUGGUCGCCCACGGAAGCUAAGCAGGGCUGCGCCCGGUCAAUACCUGGAUGUGAGACCACAUGGGAAAGCUAGAUUGCUGCUGGAA
ensembl:rRNA 5S_rRNA 5S ribosomal RNA